rnacentral:rRNA from 1 species
GACGAACGCUGGCGGCGUGCUUAACACAUGCAAGUCGAACGCUGAAGCUCAGCUUUUGUUGGGUGGAUGAGUGGCGAACGGGUGAGUAACACGUGAGUAACCUGCCCCCUUCUUUGGGAUAACGCCCGGAAACGGGUGCUAAUACUGGAUAUUCACUGGUCUUCGCAUGGGGGUUGGUGGAAAGGGUUUUUCUGGUGGGGGAUGGGCUCGCGGCCUAUCAGCUUGUUGGUGGGGUGUUGGCCUACCAAGGCUUUGACGGGUAGCCGGCCUGAGAGGGUGACCGGUCACAUUGGGACUGAGAUACGGCCCAGACUCCUACGGGAGGCAGCAGUGGGGAAUAUUGCACAAUGGGCGCAAGCCUGAUGCAGCGACGCCGCGUGAGGGAUGGAGGCCUUCGGGUUGUGAACCUCUUUCGCUCAUGGUCAAGCCGCAACAAUGGUUGUGGUGAGGGUAGUGGGUAAAGAAGCGCCGGCUAACUACGUG